rnacentral:rRNA from 1 species
GGGAAUAUUGGACAAUGGGCGCAAGCCUGAUCCAGCAAUGCCGCGUGGGUGAAGAAGGUUUUCGGAUUGUAAAGCCCUUUCGGCGGGGACGAUGAUGACGGUACCCGCAGAAGAAGCUCCGGCUAACUUCGUGCCAGCAGCCGCGGUAAUACGGAGGGGGCUAGCGUUGCUCGGAAUGACUGGGCGUAAAGGGCGCGUAGGCGGUUGGUACAGUCAGAUGUGAAAUUCCUGGGCUUAACCUGGGGACUGCAUUUGAUACGUGUGGGCUUGAGUGGAGAAGAGGGUCGUGGAAUUUCCAGUGUAGAGGUGAAAUUCGUAGAUAUUGGAAAGAACACCGGUGGCGAAGGCGGCGACCUGGUCUUUAACUGACGCUGAGGCGCGAAAGCGUGGGGAGCAAAC